UUAUCCGGAUUUAUUGGGUUUAAAGGGAGCGUAGAUGGAUGUUUAAGUCAGUUGUGAAAGUUUGCGGCUCAACCGUAAAAUUGCAGUUGAUACUGGAUGUCUUGAGUGCAGUUGAGGCAGGCGGAAUUCGUGGUGUAGCGGUGAAAUGCUUAGAUAUCACGAAGAACUCCGAUUGCGAAGGCAGCCUGCUAAGCUGCAACUGACAUUGAGGCUCGAAAGUGUGGGUAUCAAACAGGAUUAGAUACCCUGGUAGUCCACACGGUAAACGAUGAAUACUCGCUGUUUGCGAUAUACGGCAAGCGGCCAAGCGAAAGCGUUAAGUAUUCCACCUGGGGAGUACGCCGGCAACGGUGAAACUCAAAGGAAUUGACGGGGGCCCGCACAAGCGGAGGAACAUGUGGUUUAAUUCGAUGAUACGCGAGGAA
rnacentral:rRNA from 1 species